GGACGCUUUAUUUUCGUUUGCACUUUAUUGGACAACAAGGAUGUAUUGAAGUGGCUAGCAAUGCAACUGCGAUGUUAUCUGACUGGCAUUAUCGCAAAAGGAAUGAUCGCGAACUCACCAUUUAUAACAUACUAGCAUGUGCUGAAAAUACGGAGACUCCCUGUUUUCUGACUCAAUGGGAUACGUUAUGGAUAUCAACCGGCUCGCCUGGCUCUAACAUACUCAACCGCGAUUUUUAUAAAACCCGGAUAUCCACAAACGCUUUUUUGUUGUACGAAUUUGCCGAACUGUUCCUG